AAUUAGCGUUUGUGCAGCUUGUGUGCUUCUGUGGAGUAAAAGUUGUCUGAGUAUGUUAGUCAUGGUCUCAAGUGCAGACACGUCUGUGGGGGCGGAGUUGAACCCAGUGCCUUUGGGACCUGAGAAUCCUGGUGUGGUAGGAUUGGGAGAUGAACACCCUGACUUGACCUCUCUCACCCUGAAUGCCUUCUGCCUUGUUUUGUACCACACCGACAGUAUCCGUACGCCAAAGCUCUGCCAAAGUUCCACAGGCUGAAUUACACUCAAGUGGCCUUGUAGCCAGUGUUUGAUCCUCAGUGUCUCAGCUCCAAAAAAAAAAAAAAAAAAAAAAACUCAGGUCGUGUGGAUUUACAGGUUUGUCGGCACUCCAGAAUAUGCAAAACCUGUAAGAAAACAUAAAUUCUUGAUAGUGAUAUUUUAAUAACUUAAAAUUCACAAUUUGGCCAAAUAAAUAAAGCAGAAAAAAAAAGUUUAUUUAUUUCUCCUGGAAAUAUACCGGUACAUAAACAGAUGUGUUUCUUUGUAGUGAUAGUUGUAAUAAUGAAUGAUAAUAAGAUGUGAAUGACGUUCCAGAACAUUAACGCAUCACUGUCUGUUAACACAGUGGAGAAGGAGCCAGGGCUUGAACCAACCAUGUGACUGCAGUUCUUACUUGUGUUUGAGUUCAACAGAGUUUUAUUAGCAGCUUCAGGUAGAAGUUAAAAGGAUCCAGUGACUGAAGAAUAACACACCUGUGUGUCUUGUUGGACGUGAACGCAGCACACGUGCCUCAUUAAGAUGAACGGCUUCAGAACAGAAGAGUGUUCUUCAGCUGUUCUCUGCAGCUGCCGCCGCUGCCGUCGCUGCUGUCGCUGCCGUCGUGGCUGCUGCAGCAGGCAGGUGCAGCCACCGUGUGCUGAGCCCUGUGCGCUCAGCAGCGUAAUCAGCCGCAGCCAUGAGGGGAUCAACGUGACUGUCUGUCCCACGUCCUGACGAUCGCAGCGGACGCCCCGCGGUCAUCGUCCACGGGCUGCAGCACGUGGCUCGCACGCUGUUGUUGACUGCAGUCGCUCCACAAUGGA